CCUGUCCCACAGGCUGUAUGUAUAGCCAGGGGUUGCCCCUUCCCAGGUGCAGAAUCCAGCACUUGCUCUUGGAGGAGACAGAACCAGCAUGAAGAUUCUUUGGGUGAACAGAUGUCUCUUCUAUCAGUAUCAUGCUCUGGGGACACAUUUUUUGUCAAUAGUUAAGGAAUCGUAUAUCUUCUGAUACUCAGAGAAAAUGCAUCAAGAACACACAAGAGCUAGCAGAAGGGCAAAGCUGGGAAACCCUGAAUACUGAUACAGCUGUUAAUAAACAGACACAAAAGAACAAUGUCAACGUGCUACUGUCCAACACAAAGAGGGAGCUUGAUUUCUAAUAUUAAAAAAUUGGGGCUUAUGGACUUGAAUACCAAAAUCCCAAGCUAGCCAAGAUGGAUAGAACCUUCAUGAAAUAAACUGAUGACAUGAAAAAAAAUGGGGUGUGGGUGUGGGUGUGUGCAUUGAGUAUGGAGAAACACAGUGAAUACUGGCCAUUAACCCGCUAAAUCAUCUAAACUUUUUCUUAAACAGACAGCAAAUUAUUCUAACAACAAAAUACACCAUAAUUAGACAGUGGUCUUAAAACUCAAUCAGUUUCUUGCAGUUCUUAACCCUCUGCUUGUUUGCAAAUAAUUUUUGUCUGUCUUUACCAUUUUCCCUCAGAAUGUGAAUAACUGUCAUUCAAGCAAACUGACUAAAAAUGCUGAUCUCUCCCUUCCUAGUGUAUUUGUGAAGUGAUUGUUUACUAAAUAAGCUGGAGAUACAGCAAGAAUACUCUGGCAGAGUAUCCCAACAGUGAGUUGCAAAUAGUUCAAAACACAGCCUAGUAAUACAUCUUCCUGAUAACAUGAUGACAUGUCCUAGAAACAGUUUAGUUCCACAAUAUUUCCCUCAGUAUAGCAGUCUUAAGCACAGAGGAAUAUGUUUCUGAGGUAAACUGGAGGUUUGCUAAUAGUUAUGUAAACUGAUAAAAUUGUUCAUUGAAAUUUAUGUGGGCCUGAACUAUCUGAUGAUACUGACUACCUGCAAAAGUAUUUUGGAACUACAGGAUAGUGCCUACACUACCUACAUGAGUCAUCUAAUUGCAGUAACUGAUGUGGGGGAACAUGGUUCCUUGUACACUUGUUAGAGAAGGGGCAGAAGCCCUGCUUCCAGAGGGCAACACCUAAAGUCAGAUGCUCAAAGCUAGGUGCCAUGAUUAGCUACCCGAACUCUGCAGAGAGAGCACAAAAGAAGACCAUUUGUUUAUUUUUUAACAUCUAUUUUGCCUGAAGAGGACACCAUUUUAUAAAUAUGACCAGCAGAGGGAAGUAUCUCUCAAUUUUUUUGAAGUAUUUUCAGACCAAGUAGGGAUGGUCUGAGCUCACGCCCUUAGAAAAGCUGCUGCACUGCUGAAAUGAAAGAAAAUGAUAUUAAAUUAAAUUAAAUUAAAUUAAAUUAAAUUAAGGAAAAAAAAUGAAAAUGCUUUCAUAUUGUUUGCCUAUGCCCUGCAGUGGGGCACUGUGGAGUGAGAACUGUAGUUAUAUUAUUUUAGGUUUGCAUAUGCACUCUUUAAAAUGUCAUAGAAUUCUCUUCUCUGUGGCUUGGGUUUGGAGGGGAAAGGCAGAGUCUCUUUUCCUCUCUCCACAAACAUUACUUGGAAACACUGCUCACAGACAGAGAUCCAAUUAAGUUGGGCCAUCCGAUUAUGUAGGGACAUAAAGAUAUUUGUUCUCCUUGACAGCUUUCCAGACUUGAACGUAAUAUGCAGACAGCUCCUUGAUAGACAGACCGGAGUCUACAAAGCUGUGCUGAUGACAGGAGGCAGUGGAGGCAAACCCUCAGCUUGUUCUCAGCUGUCCAGGAAGAUCAGAGCAAUGGCAAAUUUCAGCAACUGAGAUAAAGGAGGGCAUUGAAGUAGUACUGCAGGUAUGAGGAGCUCCUCAUGUUGCAAAUUUGCCAUGCCACCAUUUGGAGGGCCUCAAUAAAGAUGUAUGUUAGUCCAAACAUGAGGGUAAGUAGCUGAUUAGCUAGAAUUUGACCAUAUUAUCUCUGACUUGGCAAAUGUUUUUCCAAGAC